AUGUCUCUUUGAAAAAAUGAUAUAAGGAGUCCGGCCUGCCCGGUGAUAUGGUUUAACGGCUGCAGUAUCCUGACUGUGCAAAGGUAGCAUAAUAACUUGUCUUUUAAUUGGAGGAUGGAAUCAAUGGCUUAACGAGAGUGAAACUGUCUUUUUUAUUUUUAUUAAAAUUUAUCUUUUAAGUUAAAAGGCUUAAAUACAACUAAAAGACGAUAAGACCCUAUUGAGCUUUAAAGAAGUAGAAUACUUAUUCAUUAUAAGCAAAAUUAAUAAUAAUUUUAAAAAAUUUUGGUUGGGGCGACUACGGAGUAUAAAAAACCUCCGGACUAAGAAGUUAACUUCUAUUUUUGAUCCAUAAUUUGUGAUAAGAGGAAUUAGUUACCAUAGGGAUAACAGCGCACUACUUUUAAGGAGUUCUCAUUUUUAAAAGAGAUCGCGACCUCGAUGUUGGAUUAAGGUAUGCUAAAGGGCGCAGAAGCUUUUUAAGUUAGUCUGUUCGACUAUUAAACCCUU
rnacentral:rRNA from 1 species